GUAGGUGGCAAGCGUUGUCCGGAAUUAUUGGGCGUAAAGCGCGCGCAGGCGGUUCUUUAAGUCUGAUGUGAAAGCCCACGGCUCAACCGUGGAGGGUCAUUGGAAACUGGAGAACUUGAGUACAGAAGAGGAAAGCGGAAUUCCACGUGUAGCGGUGAAAUGCGUAGAGAUGUGGAGGAACACCAGUGGCGAAGGCGGCCUUCUGGUCUGUAACUGACGCUGAGGCGCGAAAGCGUGGGGAGCAAACAGGGAUUAGAUACCCUGGUAGUCCACGCCGUAAACGAUGAGUGCUAAGUGUUAGGGGGUUUUCCGCCCCCUUAGUGCUGCAGCUAACGCAUUAAGCACUCCGCCUGGGGAUACGGCCGCAAGGCUG
rnacentral:rRNA from 1 species